rnacentral:rRNA from 1 species
UGGGGAAUUUUGGACAAUGGGGGCAACCCUGAUCCAGCCAUGCCGCGUGUGUGAAGAAGGCCUUCGGGUUGUAAAGCACUUUCGGACGGAACGAAAUCGCGCGGGUGAAUAUCCCGCGUGGAUGACGGUACCGUAAGAAGAAGCACCGGCUAACUACGUGCCAGCAGCCGCGGUAAUACGUAGGGUGCGAGCGUUAAUCGGAAUUACUGGGCGUAAAGUGUGCGCAGGCGGCCGAGCAAGUCGAGUGUGAAAGCCCCGGGCUUAACUUGGGAAUUGCGCUCGAAACUACUUGGCUGGAGUGUGGCAGAGGAAGGUGGAAUUCCACGUGUAGCGGUGAAAUGCGUAGAGAUGUGGAGGAACACCGAUGGCGAAGGCAGCCUUCUGGGCCAACACUGACGCUCAUGCACGAAAGCGUGGGGAGCAAACA